GGCUGGCGGAAACGGACCCCGCAGGGUUGGCGGACUUCUGAAGGAGCAAAGAUGGCGGCCUGAGGCGUGCCGCGGCGCGCCGGCCUUGGCGCCGGGGGGCCGGCUCCUGGCCGGUCCAGUGCUUCUGCUGGCUCCUGCGAGGAAGAACAUUUUCCUUGACUUUCAGGUGCUUUUAUAUUCAUCUCGAAAAGAAAGAAUUCUGAACUCAGGAUUUGGCAAGUAUUUCUGUGUUGUCUUCUGGAGUGGGGAGUCCUGCUUCUUCUGUCUACCCACUUCCGUAUCUUGAAAUGCGGAUAUCCCUCCUCUACAUUUUACCUCCAUGUUUUGGAUUGCAAAAGAUUGCUUUUCUUUUUCUUCCCACCUCUCAAAUUUAACACAGAGAAGCUCCUAGGAUGCAGUCAUCAUGCCAACUUCUCCAAGAAGAAAGAAGCAACUGACAUGUUUCUUCUGCCAAUUGCUUACUUGUAAAGAAAUUAUUUUGCAAGCUGGAGGGUGAUGUUUAAUUUGAAACUGGUGCUUAGAUGGUGGUAUUUGUGAAUUCUUUACCUUUUAUUCCCAGCAAGAAGACUAUAUAAAUAGCUAGUGUGGGUGUGACAUCAGGAUUUGUUUGGUUUUUUUAAUGUCUUCCCAUUUUAGCCACUAUCAUAAACACAGUCAAGACUGCAGCAGUAAAUUUCAGAUGUGUUGUAAUUUGAAAUGAAAGAUAUGCUAAUAUAUAUAUAUAAAUCCUGGCUCAACCUGUGACAUAGAUGAACUGUAUAAGAACAAAGGUCCAGCUUUGCAGUGAAACCUUUGAUGUGAUAAAGAAGCACAAAAACAGAAUAUCACCAAGUUAAUUUCAUAUAUGAAUAAGCCAUCACAGUUUCUGUAUAAAUAUAUAUAUUUUAACAUGUAAAUCCACUUUUUUUUUUUUUUUUUUUAUGAGAAGAGGGAUUUUCUUCCCAGAGAAGGAACCUAUUCUUUCUCAGAAGUCUUUGGACAUUUGGUAUUGUAAAAAAUUUUUUUUUCUUCUAAGGAAGGACCAUAUUGUGCUAACCCAAUGAAUGCAUGCUUGGGUUUACUGAAGGUUGAUAAAGGAAACAAAAGCUUUGAGUCCAGUGUUGGAACUCUUUUCACCUCCUUGGGAUGAGAGGCUGCUGUAUUACAAAUUACUUCAUUCUCUUUUGUGGAGUUUUAUAUAGCACUUGGGACUUUUUCCCUAUUGCUAAGGCUGGAGGAAAGGUGACAUAAGUAGAUUUUCUGUUCAGAAGAUGUGAUGGACCCUCCAGUAUGACCUGCCUUCAACUUUGGACAUGGGGGGAUGGGGGGGGAGAGAGGAGGGAAUGAGAAAAUUUUCAUAUAACUCCCUUCUCCUAAGAAAAUGAAGCAAAAAAGGCUUAUACAUCCACCUGGCUUUAUGGCGUUUUACAUUCAUAGCUCUAUUUUUUUGUAAAAGUAUAAAUAACUUUCCUUUGACCCAAGAUCAAUACUUGGAUGUUUGAUUGCUUUUUCUAGAUGAUAGCUGUAAUGUUAGGCAGAAAAGGCUGGGACUCAGGUAACUCCCCAUUUUCAUCAGAGAAUGGGCCUCAGAAGCAAUGUUCCCAAACAUUUUUUGGAUCAGUAUAAAUUUAGAAGAAAUUCAGGUCUAAAGAAAACCUCAAAAAAAAAAAAUAGUUCCAAUAAGAAAUAAGGAUCUUCCUUUCCCUUAAAACUUACACUAUAUGGUGAAUAGACUAUAGUAUAAAGCUGUUCUUGCUUCAAGAUCAGCAGAGGACCAGUGUAUGAAUUGUCAGGUCUUUACAUGAGAAGAAUGAAACCAUUAUGGGUCUUUGUUAUUUGAGAAAGAAUUUAAAGCCUCUUAGGAACAAAUCAUCUUAGGUCAUGUCUGUUAUUUAGGGACUGCUUGCCCAGGGCCAUACAUGCUGUUAACGCUGAAAACAGGCAGAUUUACCAAAUUUGAGAGUGAUAGGACUGGCCCAGAAUAGAAAUGUUGAGCACCCUUGAUAAUUAGUUUAAUUGGUCAACCAAUCUGAAUUGGCAUAAGAAAACUUUUGAGUAGAAAUUACAUAGAUAAAAUGUGAUUUUCCUUAAUUGAGGGCAAUUACUGAGUGGUAAAGCAUAGAAGUAACUGGAUAAAGGUAGUUUAAAUUUUUCUCUACGUAACUUCCCAGCCACUUCCUGAUUCCUAAUAUUUUGGAAUCAUUAAUGGCAGAAUGGAAUUUACAUAUUCCAUUUGGGUCCUGUUGGUAUAUUGAGAAUAUCAAAUGGAGAAUUUGUAUCUUCAGUUGUCUAUUACCCAUCUUCCUGGUGUCCUUUUGGCAACUUUUUAGGUAGAACUACUUGGCUAGAAAUAAGGAACCCUGUACAAUCAGAACCAGUGAAAACAUCUCUGGCUCACUUGUUUGAAAUAUGUAUCAGACUCAACUUCCUUAGUUGCUUUAUGUUUUUUUCAUUUCAUAGCUAAGGAAACUACUGUUUAAUGUUCUUUCAAGUUGUUGCGCAUCUUGUCAGCAGAUGGCAUUUAACAAAACGCGUAUUUUCCAGUUGUAUUUGCCCAGUGUUUAUUUAAUACAUCUACAUUGGUUUUUUCCUGGUUUGGUCCCCUUCUUGAUGGCAAAAGUUAUCAUUUUCGGCAGGACUCAAUCGAUAGCUGUGCCUGCUUCCUUUCCUUUGUGCAUCCACGUUAGCUGGCAAUUGUUUUUUGUGUUUUUGUUUUGUUUUUUUAAGUUUAAAACGGGAUAUGUGCAAUAGAAAUAUAUAUAUAUGUAUAUUUUAAUACUUGUGGACAAAUGUUACAAGUUGUUUCAGAACAACAAAAUCACCAAUGUCUUCCAUUUUGAGAUGUGUAUAGUUUUGUAAGCACUAGUGCUUGGUAGCAUAUUGUAGUGCCAUGUUAGGGGUUAGUGCAUGAGCCUAGUAACAAUUUAAACUUCAGGAUGAAUUAUUAUAAUAACCAAUAGUGUAAAAAGUGGAAAAUUUAGAACUUUUCUUUCAUAAGUUUCUGUAUCCAUGAUAUUCUCCCUGGGGAGAGGAGAUUAGGCCAAAAAGACUCAUUUAUGAAUAGUAAUGUGGGGUCACAAUGUGAAAUACUGUGUUUGAGGAUAUUUAAGCUUUUCAUGAGGUAGCUGGAAACCAGCUGUCUUGUGUGUCUUAUGAAACCUCAAAUCAAAAUGUGGCCCCAUUUCAUGAUUCUGCUUUGCUCAGUUUUAGGUGAGAUUGUUCUUAUGCUUUUUUCACAUUUUAUGUCUUUUAGGUUUAUAAUUUUCCCACUCCUUUUGCAUCAGGAAAUUAUUUUGCACGUCUUACUGAGAUGCUAUGUUCAUUGCUUGAGUGCUUUUCUAAUCUGUAGUCUACUUACACUUCCUGUCUGCAGCAUGCCAUGUGUCAGUAGUUUAGAGUGUCCUAGAUUAAUUUGUCAGGGGCUUUUCCUGUUUCCAAAUUUGCUGAAUUGUGUAUUGUUGGGAUUCUAGACCUUUUCAUGGAAUUGGAAAUAUAGCCAAUAGAGCCUACCUAAGUUGCCAUGUAAUAACUAAGUUUGCUUGGUUAUAGUAAGCCUCCUCAGACAGCUUUCACUUUUCUACUUUCCUUGUAGAUAUAAAAGUUAUUUUUAUUCUGAAAGCAUAAGAUAGCGUCAUGUAGAAAAGAAAUUCCUACCUCUAAAAGCUGCCUUGAGAACUUGUAAAUGGCAGUUUUCUGAGGUGAUUUUUAAAUCUCUUAGGGGAGUCCAGGAUUUAUUCACAGGUUCUAUAGUUAGCAUGAUAGGAAAUGCAAAACUAGUUUAAUGUGUGUCUGAUGUAGAAGCAAGCUUAGACAGAUAGACUCUUCUGCAGCAGAUCUCCAGGGACCCAGAUUUAGAUGCUCAUAGUGUACUUUAAGUAGUUGUACUCUUGGCUCAAGUAGUUUAGUGCCUGCGAGAAUCCAUUUCUGAAAAGUAUUUAAAUACUUUUUUAAUACCUCUGAAAAGGUAAUGAAUACAAAAUAGCACAGUAUAUAGGAAAGGAUAUUUCCUAUUGAAAAAAAAAAGCCAUAAAACGAACUAAUAAUUUCAAGAGGUAGAAUUUUAGCAAUAACAAUUUUAGCAUGUAUAGUAAGCUGGAUUAGCAAGGUUGUACUGUAGAAUAAGUAUUACUAGAGUUUGUGAGGCUCUAUGGUCAAGAGUUGUACAAAAGGAAAAAGAUGCUAGGUAAAGAGCAUAUAAAAGAUACUUUCAAAAACUAUGAGUGUAUGAAUAUGUCAGUGAGAAAUAGCAACUUUUAUGUAAAUUAAAGGUUAAAGAUCCUAUUUGCUUUCUAGAACAGAGGGUUAGAGCCAUUGAAUGAACUAUUUCUACUGCUUAACCUGGACACAAAUGUUUCUUCUCUUAUUGAUGAAGAAACCCCACUGAAGCCAUCAUGUGGGGAUCUUGCUUAUGAUGUUUUUUUAGCAUCAUACUAAUAGCAUACUUUUUGCUUUGUCACCUUAUCUUUCUCCAUUAGUUUCCUGGGUGCAUUUUUAAAAAGGAAAAGUUUGUUGUGUAUAUGUAUUUAGAGUUAACAAGAACUUGGAUAGCUGGUAACCUCAUGCCUAUGGUUAAUUUAGGGCUGUGAUGGCGAACCUAUGACACGCGUGUCAGAGGUGACAUGCGAACUCAUUUUUUUGGUUGAUUUUUCUUUGUUAAAUGGCAUUUAAAUAUAUAAUAAAUAUCAAAAAUAUAAAUAUUUGUUUUACUAUGGUUGCAAAUAUCAAAAAAUUUCUAUAUGUGACACAGUACCAGAGUUAAGUUAGGGUUUUUCAAAAUGCUGACACGUCAAGCUCAAAAUGUUCGCCAUCACUGGUUAGGGAGUUAAGAUUUAAAGGUAUAAAACAAAAGGAUUAAAGGAAAUAGCCAGAGACAGUAUGUUGGGUUUGUUUGUUUUUAAACCUUGUCUAAAGUAGAUGUGUUAGGCCAAUAGCCUGUGACUACUUACUUUAACAAGAACCCAGCAAACUAGUUUUUUGAUGAGGAAUCAUGCAGCUCACAUCAGGAUAUAAGAGUAGAAUGAAGGUGACUUCUUACUCCCUUUUACCUCAUGUCAUCUUGGCCAUUUAGCACUUUGAAGAUCCCUGAAAAGAUGUGGUCUAUGUUCCCUUGUUUUCCAAGGGGAAAAACAACUAAAAUAUAAGUGGAGAAGAUCAACAAAUACAGCGCCUCUUGAAUAUUUAAUUCUUACAUGGCAACUCCAAAGGAAAGGGAGACUAUAUUAAAUUGAUUAUAGCUUCUUUUUAAAUGUCCUAAACCAUCAGUUGGUGUUAAAAACAUUGGAAUAACCAAGCAAUAUUCAGACAUCUGCAUGAUCAUGAGACACCAGGUGUAUUACUGUGAUGUCAACAAUUUAGUUACUUAAACAAUUAAAGAUGACCCUUAACAGCCAAGUUAAUAGUUCCAAAUGCUAAAAUAUGCUACAAAUUUUUGUAGUUUCAAAGUAUGCAGUUAAUUAGUUUUCAGUGUUGUGGUCUCAUGUUUACUUUAGUGUAUCUGUGAUAUGCAAAAUAUGAAGAGACCCUUGGCCUCCAGGAGUUUACAUUAUCAUGGUGCUGCUGGUGCGGGCAAAUUAUUUCUAGUUUAUUCAGAACAUUGCGUGGCUAUUUAGUCAUACCGUAUUUGGAAGGAUCCCUUGAUCAACAGUUUUUAGAAGCAGAGGGCUAUGCUAAAUUUCAGGGCAUUGAUUUUGAGUUUACAUUAUAUUAGCUCUGCUAUUUUUAAACUCCUUUUCCCCUGGGAGCUGUGUAGGUUAUGCUCUUAAUGUGAAUUAGAAAAAAAAAGAAACUAUUCUAAGAGCAUCUUCACCAUCCCUAAACCACAUGCUCCUCUAUUCUAUAGCAGUCAAUAAAUGGCCAAGAAAACUCCAGAAGACUGUACAUCUCUCAGUUCUCUUUCUUUUCCCAGAAGCUUUGCAUCAUUUUCUACCCAGUAGGACCAGGAUUUGCAAUUAAGCCUUUAUAACUGAAUAGUAGUCCUAAUUUUAACUUCUGUGCGUGACUCUUGUACCUGGAUUCUGAAGUAGCAUUGUGAUAGAUGUGGAGCAUCUGCCUGCAUUUCUAAGCAAUCACUUUAUUAAUAUCCAUUUUUGGUUGAAAUUUUGCAUGUAUCUUUGUUAUUCUAAUUCUUAUAAAUCAAGGGGUUUACUCUGCAUGUUUAUUAAAACUGAGUCUGGAUGAAAGUGCAAGCAAUAGUGGCAGACCCAUAACUCUGAUUUUAGAGUACUAAUAUUUUAAUGCAUGAUUGAAAAUGUCUAGUAUUAAGUGGUUAAUAGUAAUUAUAUAUGCAUUUAUUAAUGAAGCAAUAGAGACUUAAACCAAUAGCUUGAAUUUAUUGUUUGGAUUACUAGUUUACAUUUUCUAACUAAAGAUGAUCUUACUUCCAUUAAAAAUGGAAGCUACAAGAUAAACAGGGGCAACCAUAAGACAUUCAAACUGUCAGGAAUAGAGCAUAACAGUGCUCAUCACCCUCUAACCUCUUGCCUGAUUCCAUUAGUCCCCAAGCAUGUUUAAAAACAAUACAAAAGGCACAAACUAAGCAUGUGGAGUAAAUAAAUAAGCUGCUAUAGUUAUCAGAAAAGGUGCAGAGUUUCAUAAAGGAUAGGGGAUAGUGUGGAGUUAAAAACAAGUAGAUAGAGGGUUUGUCUGGUAAAGUUAUGUGGCUUAAAUUUGCGUCUCAUUACUAGUAUCUUGUCAGUGAAUAGAGGCAGUUGCACACAUUUUAUAUGUUUCAGGAUUUUCAGAUAAGUAGGCAACUCUUCUGGGUUGUACCGAUAUUGACUGGCCAUAAAGGAUCCCAGCAAAAAAGAAACUUUCAUUUUGUGGAAAUAGUCCUGAAAAUAUUAACAUAUCUGUGGUUUGGUUUCUCUUUUGUUACUGAAUUACAUUAACAUUAUUUUGUUAUUAUUUUUUUAAUAGCCAGAGUUUUAUUCUUGAUGUUUUGAUCAGGCUGCAUAAUCUGCCUAAAGUUUUUGAUGCCAAGUAAACAGGAGCAAGUUUUUACUUUUGUGUUUAUUAUAGUAGCUUAAAAUUUUUAGACAAUUCCUAACUUUGGAAUAAUCCUUUUAAGUCCAAGUGAUUAUGAUGAAUAAUGUAAAUGGGAGUAAUUAUAUCUAAAAGAGGCCUAAACAGGAUUAGACUAGAUAGACACUUUGCUAUGGGAUUUCCCUCCAGAUACCUUUGGAAAUGUGUAAAUGUAAUGGUAACUUUUCAGUAGUUUACAACGGAAUUAGAGUAUGGUCAUCACAGUAUCUGGUUUCCACUCAAAUAUAGGAAGUGAGAUGUCAUAUCUUAUAUGUAAAGUUUCUCUUUGCCACUAUUAAUAACAUGCCUAUCAACCAAUGAAGAUUUAAGGACAGUUUCUCUAAACUCUGUUCCCAUUAUUCCACUAAGGCAUAUUAAAGGUUAUUAGAAAAACAAAAAUCAUAGAUUUCUCCAGGAAUCCAUACUCCUAAGCCUCCCUUUUAAGUCAGAAUAGAUAUUUUAGGGUUACUAACAAUUUCCAAAAGAUUUUGUCUCUUGUGGUGAUGGUCAGCCAUGCCAUCAAUUCAAAUAUAUUUUUCUCCCAGGGACAAAAGAUAUUCUGGCAAUACAUUAUCAUCAGUCCUUAAACAAUAGCAGUCAUCUUGGCGUUUACCUUAAAAUCACCCAUCACUAAGAAUCACAUUAGAGUAUCCUUUACAUACGGUUUUAUGUGCUACCUGUCCUUUUAAGUAGUUGUUGCUCAUUGUUUUUACUUGCUAUUCUGCAUCUUCUCCACUGCACCAGUGAUACAGGCGAUAAUGUUAAAAGAAUUUCAUUGAAUGUUUAAAGUAUUACAAAAGCAGCUUGCUUUUUAAUCUAUGCAUCUUUGGGAUUUUAGAAAAGAUUUUAUUGUUUUCUAAAGAUUUUAUGUAAAAAGGAACUGCUUUAAGAAUUGGAAACUCUGCACCUGUGUAUAUAUAUAUAUUUUUUGGCAAUAAAGCAGCAUGGGCUGAGAAUGCACUGAAA